rnacentral:lncRNA from 1 species
GCCUGCUGUUGCUAUGAUGAAAAACAUUUACAAGGUCAUACAACUUUAGGGAGCAUUUCUGAAUUGAGACUAGUAUGAAAAUGGAAUUUAAAGUAUCAAAUGAAGCCUCCCAUAGCCAAAAUAAUGUAUGUUUUGGUUUUGCCCCCUACAUAUUUGUGAAAACUUUCAUGCUAAAACAACAAUAUACCAUUUACCUGCAGAACCUCAGACUUGUUUGAUGUUGAAGUCAUGCAGUAAUUGCAUGAUUUUUUACUUUCGUUGAACAUUGCGAAAGACGGAAAAAAUCUGGGACGCCCCCUCUAAC